GACGAACGCUAGCGGCGUGCUUAACACAUGCAAGUCGAACGGAAAGGCCCUGCUUUUGUUGGGUGCUCGAGUGGCGAACGGGUGAGUAACACGUGAGUAACCUGCCCUUGACUUUGGGAUAACUUCAGGAAACUGGGGCUAAUACCGGAUAGGAGCUCCUGCUGCAUUGUGGGGGUUGGAAAGUUUCGGCGGUUGGGGAUGGACUCGCGGCUUAUCAGCUUGUUGGUGGGGUAGUGGCUUACCAAGGCUUUGACGGGUAGCCGGCCUGAGAGGGUGACCGGCCACAUUGGGACUGAGAUACGGCCCAGACUCCUACGGGAGGCAGCAGGGGGGAAUAUUGCACAAUGGGCGGAAGCCUGAUGCAGCAACGCCGCGUGCGGGAUGACGGCCUUCGGAUUGUAAACCGCUUUCGCCUGUGACGAAGCGUAGGUGACGGUAAUGGGUAAAGAAACACCGGCUAACUAUGUG
rnacentral:rRNA from 1 species